GUGACCCCAGGAUGGGCGAGGCCACCCGCCGAGUUUAAGCAUAUCUAUAAGCGGAGGAGAG
rnacentral:rRNA from 1 species